rnacentral:misc_RNA from 1 species
GAUGAAGAACGCAGCGAAAUGCGAUACUUGGUGUGAAUUGCAGAAUCCCGUGAACCAUCGAGUCUUUGAACGCAAGUUGCGCCUCAAGCCAUUAGGUUGAGGGCACGUCUGCCUGGGCGUCACAUAUCGUUGCCUGAUGCCAGUUUCCUCGUGAUGGGUGACUGUGCAGGGCGAAUGAUGGCUUCCCGUGAGCAUUGUUGCCUCAUGGUUGGUUGAAAAUUGAGGCCUUGGUAGGGGGCGCCGUGAUAGAUGGUGGUUGAGUGACGAACGAGACCCAAUCAUGUGAGACCCCUACCGAAUUUGGCCUUCAUGACCCACAUGCGUCUUUGGAACGCUCAUGACGAGACCUCAGGUCAGGCGGGGCUACCCGCUGAGUUUAAGCAUAUCAAUAAGCGGAGGA